rnacentral:rRNA from 1 species
GGAGUUAGCCGGUGCUUCUUCUGCGAGUAACGUCACAGAUGUAAGGUAUUAACUUACACCCUUUCCUCCUCGCUGAAAGUGCUUUACAACCCGAAGGCCUUCUUCACACACGCGGCAUGGCUGCAUCAGGGUUUCCCCCAUUGUGCAAUAUUCCCCACUGCUGCCUCCCGUAGGAGUCUGGGCCGUGUCUCAGUCCCAGUGUGGCUGAUCAUCCUCUCAGACCAGCUAGGGAUCGUCGCCUAGGUGAGCCUUUACCUCACCUACUAGCUAAUCCCACCUGGGCUUAUCCAUCAGCGCAAGGCCCGAAGGUCCCCUGCUUUCCCCCGUAGGGCGUAUGCGGUAUUAGCAGUCGUUUCCAACUGUUAUCCCCCACAAAUGGGCAAAUUCCCAGGCAUUACUCACCCGUCCGCCGCUCGUCAUCUUCAAAAGCAAGCUUUUGAAAUGUUACCGCUCGACUUGCAUGUGUUAGGCCUGCCGCCAGCGUUCAAUCUGAGCCANAGNACCAAGCUGA